rnacentral:rRNA from 1 species
UACGUAGGGUACAAGCGUUAAUCGGAAUUACUGGGCGUAAAGCGUGCGCAGGCGGUUAUGUAAGACAGAUGUGAAAUCCCCGGGCUCAACCUGGGAACUGCAUUUGUGACUGCAUGGCUAGAGUGCGGCAGAGGGGGAUGGAAUUCCGCGUGUAGCAGUGAAAUGCGUAGAUAUGCGGAGGAACACCGAUGGCGAAGGCAAUCCCCUGGGCCUGCACUGACGCUCAUGCACGAAAGCGUGGGGAGCAAACAGG